rnacentral:rRNA from 1 species
GCAAUGCGUAGGCUACCAUGCAAGUCGAGCGGCAGCGGGGGAAAGCUUGCUUUCCCGCCGGCGAGCGGCGGACGGGUGAGUAAUGUCUGGGAAACUGCCUGAUGGAGGGGGAUAACUACUGGAAACGGUAGCUAAUACCGCAUAACGUCUUCGGACCAAAGUGGGGGACCUUCGGGCCUCAUGCCAUCAGAUGUGCCCAGAUGGGAUUAGCUAGUAGGUGGGGUAACGGCUCACCUAGGCGACGAUCCCUAGCUGGUCUGAGAGGAUGACCAGCCACACUGGAACUGAGACACGGUCCAGACUCCUACGGGAGGCAGCAGUGGGGAAUAUUGCACAAUGGGCGCAAGCCUGAUGCAGCCAUGCCGCGUGUAUGAAGAAGGCCUUCGGGUUGUAAAGUACUUUCAGCGGGGAGGAAGGUGUUGUGGUUAAUAACCACAGCAAUUGACGUUACCCGCAGAAGAAGCACCGGCUAACUCCGUGCCAGCACGGGGGGGGUAAUA